GCACUGCUGAGGAGUCUCCUCAUAGGACGAAACGGCUGUCCAGUGC
rnacentral:hammerhead_ribozyme from 1 species